UGCAGAUCCAUUUUCUGCCACCGAAUACAUUAGCAUGGGAUAAUGGAAUAGGACCCUGYCCUYCUAUUUUCAGUUGGUUUUGGCAGCGCGAGGACUAGGGUAAUGAUUAAUAGGGAUAGUUGGGGGCAUUAAUAUUUAAUUGUCAGAGGUGAAAUUCUUGGAUUUAUGAAAGAUUAACUUCUGCGAAAGCAUCUGCCAAGGAUGUUUUCAUUAAUCAAGAACGAAAGUUAGGGGAUCGAAGACGAUCAGAUACCGUCGUAGUCUUAACCAUAAACGAUGCCGACCAGCGAUUAGGAGACGUUGAAUACAAAACACCACCAUCGGCGCGGUCGUCCUUGGCGUCUGUCCCUUUCAACGGGGGCAGGCGCGAGGGCGGUUUAGCCCGGUGGCACCGGUGAAUGACUCCCCUAGCASCUUGUGAGAA
rnacentral:rRNA from 1 species